rnacentral:rRNA from 1 species
AAAGGAAUUGACGGGGGCCCGCACAAGCGGAGGAGCAUGUGGUUUAAUUCGAUGAUACGCGAGGAACCUUACCUGGGCUCGAACGUAAGAUGACUAUAGGUGAAAGCUUAUUUCUCUUCGGAGCAUUUUACGAGGUGCUGCAUGGUUGUCGUCAGCUCGUGCCGUGAGGUGUCGGGUUAAGUCCCAUAACGAGCGCAACCCCUACUUUUAGUUGCCAACAGGUAAUGCUGGGGACUCUAAAGGAACUGCCUACGUAAGUAGUGAGGAAGGUGGGGAUGACGUCAAAUCAGCACGGCCCUUACGUCCAGGGCCACACACGUGCUACAAUGGCCGAUACAGAGGGCAGCUACCUGGUGACAGGAUGCAAAUCUCCAAAGUCGGUCUCAGUUCGGAUCGAAGUCUGCAACUCGACUUCGUGAAGUUGGAUUCGCUAGUAAUCGCGCAUCAGCCAUGGCGCGGUGAAUACGUUCCCGGGCCUUGUACACACCGCCCGU